GAAAGAGGUGUGCAACAAUGAAGACUGCUAAUCUUCACUCCCCCGGUUAAAUUCCGAGGCUCAUUCG
rnacentral:tRNA from 1 species